AACGAACGCUGGCGGCAUGCCUAACACAUGCAAGUCGAACGAGAUCUUCGGGUCUAGUGGCGCACGGGUGCGUAACGCGUGGGAAUCUGCCCUUUGGUUCGGAAUAACAGUUGGAAACGACUGCUAAUACCGGAUGAUGACGAAAGUCCAAAGAUUUAUCGCCCGAGGAUGAGCCCGCGUAGGAUUAGCUAGUUGGUGUGGUAAGGCGCACCAAGGCGACGAUCCUUAGCUGGUCUGAGAGGAUGAUCAGCCACACUGGGACUGAGACACGGCCCAGACUCCUACGGGAGGCAGCAGUGGGGAAUAUUGGACAAUGGGCGAAAGCCUGAUCCAGCAAUGCCGCGUGAGUGAUGAAGGCCUUAGGGUUGUAAAGCUCUUUUACCCGGGAUGAUAAUGACAGUACCGGGAGAAUAAGCUCCGGCUAACUCCGUGCCAGCCGCCGCAGUAAGAC
rnacentral:rRNA from 1 species